GGGCCCGCACAAGCGGUGGAGCAUGUGGUUUAAUUCGAUGAUACGCGAGGAACCUUACCAGGGUUUAAAUGCAGAACGACAGGGGUGGAAACACCCCCUUCUUCGGACGGACUGCAAGGUGCUGCAUGGUUGUCGUCAGCUCGUGCUGUGAAGUGUCGGGUUAAGUCCCAUAACGAGCGCAACCCCCAUUUCUAGUUGCCAGCGGUUCGGCCGGGGACUCUAGAGAAACUGCCAGCGUAAGCUGUGAGGAAGGUGGGGAUGACGUCAAAUCAUCACGGCCCUUACAUCCUGGGCCACACACGUGCUACAAUGGUGGGGACAACAGGUUGCCAACCCGCGAGGGUGAGCCAAUCCCAAAACCCCAUCUCAGUUCGGAUCGGAGUCUGCAACUCGACUCCGUGAAGUUGGAAUCGCUAGUAAUCGCGGAU
rnacentral:rRNA from 1 species